GACGAACGCUGGCGGCGUGCUUAACACAUGCAAGUCGAGCGGUAAGGCCCUUUCGGGGGUACACGAGCGGCGAACGGGUGAGUAACACGUGGGUGACCUGCCCUUAGCUCUGGGAUAAGCCUGGGAAACUGGGUCUAAUACCGGAUAUGACUCCAUGACGCAUGUUGUGGGGUGGAAAGCCUUGUGCGGCUAGGGAUGGGCCCGCGGCCUAUCAGCUUGUUGGUGGGGUGAUGGCCUACCAAGGCGACGACGGGUAGCCGGCCUGAGAGGGCGACCGGCCACACUGGGACGUGAGACACGGCCCAGACUCCUACGGGAGGCAGCAGUGGGAAUCUUGCGCAAUGGCGAAAGCCUGACGCAGCGACGCCGCGU
rnacentral:rRNA from 1 species